rnacentral:lncRNA from 1 species
AGAUGUAAUAACUAAUACAUGUAUUAGUAAUACAUCGAUAACAUAUUGAAAUGACAAAUCUACCCAUAUCAUUUUACACAUAAAGGCUUCCUUCUAUAGAUUGAUAUGUAUCAAACCCUUUUGAGAACAAGCAUGGAGAUACUGAUGCCUCACUGCUAGUCUCUUCCUCUUCUCAAUCUAUUAUAGACAAAAUAAGUAAAUAAGUAUUUUACUUUAAAAUUUAUAUAAUGUAUAUCAAUUUCUAAUCCAACAAAGCAAAUAUUCAAAAAAAAAAUCUCAACGCAACUAAUUUAUGUAUAACUAAUACCUGCAUAACUAAUACAUGCAUAACUCUAACUGGCAACCAAACGACCCCUUAGAUCAUAAAGUAAAGGUACGUAAGAGAGAGAAGAUCUCAACUUACCUAGCCUUAGACCUAUUUUUAUUGCAAAAAAAUAUAAAAAUUGCUAUUGCGACUAUACCUCCUGCUUUGUCAUGUAUACUACGAAGAAUGACAUGGAUCAGUAUCAUUUUUGAUACUAAAUUAAUAACUUGUAUAUAUUUAAUAUUUAACCCGUAAGACACACUAGCUCUGCCCCUACUAAUCAAUAUUGUGACUACAUGUGAGUUCUUUCCUUAUUUGUUUCAAUAUAUUCAACAUAAUCUCAGCGACAAUGAUUAACAAUGGAAAACUGUAAAAUUCUGCACACUUAGCUCAUAUUCAGCUCAAGCUUUCUACUCUACAUUAAUAGAGAUGUAGAGAAUAAGAAGAAGAAGAGCUUCUGUGAAGCUUCGAGAACACAACAGAAAAUGAAAAUGAAUGAGCUUAACUUCUCAUUGAUUUAAUCCUCUAUUUAUACAAGCAGCUAACUCCUACAUCUAACUGACAGCUCAUUGAUAGCUGUCCAAAUUACCACUAACUAACUAAGUACCCUUCCAAUAAUUAGUUACAUAACUAACUCUAGUUUAACUCCUAACUGCUUCUACUUAACCUUGAUUCCCAGAACAGCUUCAAGUUUUCCCAUCUCGAACACUCUCCCUUAAGCUGGUAGGUGCAAAAAUAUUGAGCACUCCCAGCUUGGACAUCAAGUACUCAUGCUGCAACCUCAGUAGCCCCUUUGUCAAGAUAUCUGCUUGUUGAUCUUUUGAACUCAUAUGCAUUAUUUUCACCAGUCCUUGUUGUAGCUUUUCCCUGAUAAAGUAACAAUCUAUUUCAAUAUAUUUCGUUCUUUCAUGAUAUAUUAGAUUUGCAGUAAAUUGCAGAGCUGCCUUAUUAUCACAGAACAAUUCAACUGGAAGCUUCGCUUCUGCACCAAGCUCUUUAAACAAGCCUGUCAACCAAAUAAGUUCCGCUAUUGUCCAAGCCAUGCUCAUGUAUUCUGCUUCUGCAGAGCUUCUUGAAACUAUAUUUUGCUUCUUAGACUUCUAGGAUAUAAGAGAAUUGCCAUGCUUAACAAGAAACCCUGUGACUGAUCUUCUUGUGUUAGGACAUGAAGCCCAAUCAGCAUCACAAUAUGCACUUAGUGUAUUGCUCCUUUGACUGCUCAUGAGGAUUCCCAAGCCUGGUUCCUUCUUGACAUAUCUGACCACUCUCAAUGUUGCUUCCCAGUGACUUCUUUUGGGUUGUUGCAUGAAUUGACUAAGUUUUUGGACUGCAAAGGAUAUGUCUGGUCUUGUCAAUGUUAAGCAUAACAACUUCCCAAUCAGUCUUUGAUACUUGCCCCUGUCCUCUAGUUGCUCAUAACCUUCUAAGCCUGCAAUAUCAUCCAACUCUUUGAGAGUAUACUUAUAGUUAUAUUCUAAUGGGGUAAAAGCUGGUUUAGAGGCACUUAGCCCCAUCUCUUCAAUGAGUUCUAGUGAAUACUUCCUUUGAUUCACCAAAAUGCCUCUCUUUGACCUGCUGAACUCCAUCCCCAAAAAAUACCUCAACUCACCAAGGUCUUUCAUCUUGAAGGCCUGCUGCAAUUUCUGCUUUGUUUCUUCUAUCAACUGGAGAUUAUUCCCAGUGGUUAGCAUGUCAUCCACGUAAACAAGAAUAACAAUGAUAUUGGUUCCUAUCUUCUGUGUAAAAAAGAGAGUGAUCAAGAGUGCUUUGCAUGAAUCCCUGAGCUGUAAGUGCUUCUGUGAGUUAAACAUUCCAUUGUCUACUUGCUUGCUUCAGGCCAUAUAAGGAUUUAACAAGCUGACAUACCACUGGAGUCUUCCCCUAGCUUGUAAAACCCUCAGGCAGUUGCAUGUAGACCUCAUCAGGUAAGUCACCCGGCAAGAAAGCAUUGUACAUAUCUAUUUGAUGGAUGUGCCACCCUUCCAUUAUAGCUAAUGACAUGACUGAUCUCACAAUGACUAUUUUCAAAACUGGGGAGAAUGUCUCAUUGUAAUCAAGCCCCUCCUGUUGAUUAUAGCCUUUAGCUACCAAUCGAGCCUUGAACCUUUCAACCUCACCAUUAGCUUUGUAUUUGACUUUAAACACCCACUUGCAGCUAAUAAGGAUCUUCCCAUCAGGUAAGGAAACCAACUUCCAGGUGUGGUUAUCUUCCAAAGCUUAAAUUUCAGCUCAUAUGGCCUCUACCCACCUUGGAUCUUUGGAAGCCUCAUGAAAUGUUUUAGGUUCCACAAUUGAAGUGAAAAUUGCUAUGUAGUUCUUGUAUGAUGGCUGUAGAGAAGAGUAAUUUACUGAGUGAUCAAUAAGAUAGGGGAUGGUUGAAGUAGUGAUGGUAGGUGUAGUGAUGUAGUCUGAUAGCCAUCCUGGAGAUUUCUUUGUCCUAGUAGACUUUCUGAAAUUUUGUAAAGCUUCAGAAGUUGAAUUAUGGGAUAAGUCUUCUUGCUGAUCUUCAGAAGCUGCAGGUUGAUCUUCAUUCUGAUGCAUCAGUUCAUGAUGGGAGUGACUUUCAUGUUGUUGUUGAGCAACAUCUUCAUGAGUUUCCUUAUGGUGAGCAUGUGAUUCCUCCUCUUGAAUUGUCAAGUCCUCUUCUUGUACUUAUGUCAGCUCAUUUGCUGUGUAGCCUAGGCUUGGAUCACUGUUUGGUUCAACUUCUGAGAACAAUGAUGAAUGUGUAGCUGGCUUGUGCUUGAAAGAAAAAAUAUGUUCCUUGAAAUGAACAUCCCUAUUUAUAAAGAACACACGAUUAGUGAGGUCAUAUAGUAUGUACCCUUUGCUGACUGCUGAGUAUCCCAUCAUAACUCCUGCAGCUGCUCUUGCUACAAAUUUGUCAUGGUUAUGGACCUUCUUGGCAAAACAAAAGCAUUAUAUUACUCUUAAAUUAUCCAGUUUUGGUUUUCUUUUAUAAAAAAACUCAUAAGAUGACUUCCCUCCUAAAACAACUGAUGACAUUUUGUUAAUCAAAUAUACUGCAGCUAGAACACAGUGUCCCCAAAACUUCAGAGGAAUACCUCCUUGAAACCUAACUUCUCUUGCUAUUUCUAGAAUGUGUCUGUAUUUCCUCUCAGCAAUCUCAUUCUGUUGAGGAGUAUAAAUACAUGUUCUCUGAUGUAUUAUCCCUAAAGAUUGAAAUAAAUGGAAACAAUUGGUGUUGAUGAACUCUCCACCAUUAUCAGAUCUUAAUAUCUUGAUUGUUUUCCCAAAUUGAGUUUUAACCAAUGAAAAGAAAUUCCUCAGCAUCACAAUUACAUCACUUUUAAGUUUGAGUAAAACAACCAAGUAGUUCUCGAACAAUCACCCACAAUAGUCAGAAAUAUUUUAUUUCCAUCAACUGUAGGUACAUUGUAAGGUCCCCACACAUCAACGUGUAACAACUCAAAAAUAUCAGAAGACCUACUUGUACUGUUGUGAAAUGGUAGUCUAGUAUGCCUUGCUAAAGGGCAGAUUGUACAGCUAUCUAUUGCUACUUUACAUUCUUCUUGUCCCAGACCUAAGAUCUGCUUUAUGGCUACUGCUGAUGCAUGCCCAAGCCUUCUGUGCCACAAUCCAAUAUUUAAAUUCUCCUUUAUUCCAGUCAAUCCUCUUGCUAUAGUGUUGUUGUUAUUGAUAGAUUUUUGAAGGAACAGAUAAAGUCCUUCACUUUCUCUACCAAUCCCCUUCACCAUUCCACUGUAGAGGUCCUGGAAUAUACAGAAAUGUGGAAAGAAUCAUACUGAGCAUUGCAGCUUGGUAAUUUAGAGACUGACAGAAGAUUAUACCUAAAUUCUGGUAUAUACAGGACAUCAUCUAUUUUAAUGUUUAUCAGCCAAUCUACAGGAUCCAAGAUGUGUCACAACUGUAGUCUCAUCAUUUGGCAAAUAUAUCCUUUUUCUUUCAUUCUUAUCACUUUUCCUUUUUGUACUCAACAUGUUUAAGUCAGCUACCAUAUGAUUUGUGGCUCCAGAAUCAACAAUCCAAUAUUUUAUGUGUGCAUCUGCUAGAAAAGCAUUAAUAGUACCAGCCAUGUUGGCCAUUCCAACUGAAUUUGAACUUUCACAUAUGCCAUCCUUGCUGAGCAGCUUCAGUAUUUGAUUAUAUUGUUCUUGUGUGAAGUACGGUCUUUAGAUCCCAUAUGUGGUGUUGAGUUUGUCUGCUCCUCAAUCAGUAUUUUCCAAUGCAUCAUGCCUUCCUUGAUCCUCCACUACAGCAUUCUGAGCAGCUCCAACACCAGGCUUCUUUCUAUACUUAAAGUCAGCAAGAUAUACUAUCAACUUGUAGCAUCCUUCACGAGUGUGCCCUUUGAGUUUGCAAUAAUCACAGUACAAGUAGUAGUUCUUUUUCCCUUUCUGAGCAGGAUUAUUGGCCCUUGUUGUCAUGAGUGCUUUCACCUCUCCAGUAUCAGCAUUUACCAUGCUCCUCUGGCUUUCCCUUUCCAUCAAUAUCGAGUAGGUUUUGUUGAUUAUAGGCACUGACACUAUCAUUAGAAGCUGGCUCCUUGCCUGUUCAUAGGACUCAUUGAGUCCUAUUAGAAACUGUAACAGCUUCAGCCUCUCCAUAGACACUACAAAUUCACGUGAUUUGGCACAAUCACAUCCAGGAAUUGGAGCUAGCCUGUCAAACUCAACCCACAACAGACGCAACUUUGAGAAAUAAGCAGAAAUAGAACUGGUUCCCUGAGUUAUAGUAGCAAUUUCCUUUUGUAUUUGAAAAAUCCUAGAGCAAUCAAUUUUGUUAAAUCGUUCCUUCAAAUCUCCCCAAACUGAGGAGGCAUUUGUCGAGUACACUAUUCUACUGUACAGUUCCUUCGACACAUAAUUCAUGAUCCACGAUAGAAUAAUAGCAUUGCGUCUCCCCAAGAAAUCAACUAAAUUUGGCCCAAAAUCCUCUCUUUUACAGGUGCCGUCUAUGAACCCUAGUUUGUUCCUUCCUAGGAUUGCAAUUCUCAUAGCUCGACUCUAAACAAAGUUAUUUUUUGGCCCAGUCAAUUGAAGAGAAACAAAUAAUAUACCUGAAGUGUUAGUAGAAUGCAGGAACAACGGAUGAUUGUGACUCAACUUUUUCGGCUCAGUAUCGUCAACCGCCAUAUUUUAAUUUGUGAUUGCUCCGAAGAAAAUGAAAUUUGAAGAAUUGGAUCGAAGAUACAACUGCACUAACAAUCGUGAAGCUCUGAUACCAUGUGAAAUUCUGCACACUCAGCUCAUAUUCAACUCAAGCUUUCUACUCUACAUCAAUGGAGAUGCAGAGAAGAAGAAGAGCUUCUGUGAAGCUUCGAGAACAUAACAGAAAAUGAAAAUGAAUGAGCUU